GGCCUGAGAGGGUUACCGGCCACACUGGGACUGAGACACGGCCCAGACUCCUACGGGAGGCAGCAGUGGGGAAUAUUGCACAAUGGGCGAAAGCCUGAUGCAGCGACGCCGCGUGAGGGAUGACGGCCUUCGGGUUGUAAACCUCUUUCAGCAGGGACGAAGCGCAAGUGACGGUACCUGCAGAAGAAGCGCCGGCCAACUACGUGCCAGCAGCCGCGGCCGAA
rnacentral:rRNA from 1 species